UACGAAGGGGGCUAGCGUUGUUCGGAAUACUGGGCGUAAAGCGUGCGCAGGCGGCUUCUCAAGUCAGGGGUGAAAGCCCAGAGCUCAACUCUGGAAUUGCCUUUGAUACUGGGUGUCUUGAGUGUGAGAGAGGUAUGUGGAACUCCGAGUGUAGAGGUGAAAUUCGUAGAUAUUCGGAAGAACACCAGUGGCGAAGGCGACAUACUGGCUCAUUACUGACGCUGAGGCUCGAAAGCGUGGGGAGCAAACAGG
rnacentral:rRNA from 1 species